UGGGGAAUAUUGGGCAAUGGAGGAAACUCUGACCCAGCGACGCCGCGUGCAGGAUGAAGGCCUUCGGGUUGUAAACCGCCUUCAGUAGGGAAGAAGCGAAAGUGACGGUACCUACAAAAGAAGCACCGGCUAACUAUGUGCCAGCAGCCGCGGUAAUACAUAGGGUGCGAGCGUUAAUCGGAAUUACUGGGCGUAAAGGGUGCGUAGGUGGUUUAUUAAGUUAUCUGUGAAAUCCCCGGGCUCAACCUGGGCAGGUCAGAUAAGACUGGUAGACUCGAGUAUGGGAGAGGGUAGUGGAAUUUCCGGUGUAGCGGUGAAAUGCGUAGAGAUCGGAAGGAACACCAGUGGCGAAGGCAGGUCUCUGGGCCAUUACUGACACUGAGGAGCGAAAGCGUGGGGAGCGAACAGG
rnacentral:rRNA from 1 species